GUGGUUGUGGCUCCGUGGUAGAGCACUUGCCUAGCAUGUAUGAAGCACUGGGUUUAAUUCUCAGCAUCACA
rfam:Ictidomys tridecemlineatus contig043640, whole genome shotgun sequence.